UCCGCUGUCCAAUGAGGAGUCGCGCUGCGGCGUCCGGCAGGCGUCGGGUCUGUCAUGGAGCCCGCGGGGCUGCGAGGGGCUGACUGCAAAGGACAUGCUGGCCCUUGAACUGUGCACACCCCUUGAACUUGAACAUGCUGCAACUGUGCCCUCACCCUCUGCUCAGGCAGUGACAUGGAUGCCCUCGGAAACUCAGCUACUCAGCCAAGAGCCUGCUCAGUGCAGGGCAGGGGCCUGUGACA